AUUGAACGCUGGCGGCAGGCCUAACACAUGCAAGUCGAGCGAGCGGCGGACGGGUGAGCAAUGUAUGGGGACUGCCCGAUAGAGGGGGCUAACUACUGGAAACGGUGGCUAAUACCGCAUACUAUCGGAUAACCCAUGCUGGAUUAGCUAGUAGGUGGGGUAAAGGCUCACCUAGGCGACGAUCGCUAGCUGGUCUGAGAGGGUGAUCAGCGACACUGGGACUGAGACACGGCCCAGACUCCUACGGAGGCAGCAGUGGGGAAUAUUGCACAAUGGGCGCAAGCCUGAUGCAGCCAGGCCGCGUGAAUGAAGAAGGCCUUAGGGUUGUAAAGUACUUUCGGCGGGGAGGCGUUACCCGCAGAAGAAGCACCGGCUAACUCCGUGCCAGCAGCCGCGGUAAUUC
rnacentral:rRNA from 1 species